rnacentral:rRNA from 1 species
GAUGAACGCUGGCGGCGUGCCUAAUACAUGCAAGUCGAGCGAACAGACGAGGAGCUUGCUCCUUUGACGUUAGCGGCGGACGGGUGAGUAACACGUGGGUAACCUACCUAUAAGACUGGGAUAACUUCGGGAAACCGGAGCUAAUACCGGAUAAUAUUUCGAACCGCAUGGUUCGAUAGUGAAAGAUGGCUUUGCUAUCACUUAUAGAUGGACCUGCGCCGUAUUAGCUAGUUGGUAAGGUAACGGCUUACCAAGGCAACGAUACGUAGCCGACCUGAGAGGGUGAUCGGCCACACUGGAACUGAGACACGGUCCAGACUCCUACGGGAGGCAGCAGUAGGGAAUCUUCCGCAAUGGGCGAAAGCCUGACGGAGCAACGCCGCGUGAGUGAUGAAGGUCUUCGGAUCGUAAAACUCUGUUAUUAGGGAAGAACAACCGUGUAAGUAACUGUGCACGUCUUGACGGUACCUAAUCAGAAAGCCACGGCUAACUACGUG